UUCAAUUUGGUCGCCAUUCCCCAGAGCACCAGGGUAUCCCAAUAGUUUUUGCCUUUUUGUUGUGUUAUUUUUGUGUCUAUUAGGGUAACCCGUUCUGACACACCUUCAUCUGGGGAUUUCCAUUCAAAACACGGUAAUCUGACUUUCUGAUAACUUCGAAAUUUCCUCCCGAUCUUACCGAAAAUUUCACUCGUUAAAACCUUCGUUGGGACAAUAAAGUUACCUUUAACAUGAAGAGAAAACGUAAUCCUCCACAACCAGCACGGGCUGGCAUAGCAAGGCAGCAUCUCAAAGACUUCUUUUCUUCAACUCCCGGAGAUCAGACAGUUCUUUACGGGCACAUACUGCAUAUUUACCUGUACCUUUUGAUACUUUACUAUGGACAAUGCUUUUCAAAUGUAUUAUUAUUGAAUGGAUUAUAAUGAUAACACAAAGUACUUUUUAAUUUGAUGCUGUGGACUCUUUGAAAAGACAUUCUUUGUAUUAUUCACUACAUACAUUCUCCGGUGAGUAUUAAUUGACAGACAAAUAAAUUAAAUAAUUAUUUGUUUUA